rnacentral:rRNA from 1 species
GGCCUAACACAUGCAAGUCGAGCGCCCCGCAGGGGGAGCGGCAGACGGGAGAGUAGCACGUGGGAACGUACCCUUCAGUUCGGAACAACCCAGGGAAACUUGGGCUAAUACCGAAUACGUCCGUAAGGAGAAAGAUUUAUCGCUGAAGGAUCGGCCCGCGUCUGAUUAGCUAGUUGGUGAGGUAACGGCUCACCAAGGCGACGAUCAGUAGCUGGUCUGAGAGGAUGAUCAGCCUCACUGGGACUGAGACACGGCCCAGACUCCUACGGGAGGCAGCAGUGGGGAAUAUUGGACAAUGGGCGCAAGCCUGAUCCAGCCAUGCCGCGUGGAUGAUGAAGGCCCUAGGGUUGUAAAGUCC